rnacentral:lncRNA from 10 species
AAAAUGGAAUAGGUUAAUAAUAAACAAAAUGAAAUUUGUAUUUGUGCAUUUGGAAAAUAUUUAUUCUCUGAAAUUAUGCCAAUUUAUGCUUGCGAUCUAACUCAUGAAAAAAUAAUCUGUAUCAAUCAAAAUGCUAGAUUUUUAUAUUAUUAAGAUAAAAAUGGCAUUGCUCAGAAUUACUGACACUGUUGAUGAAUGCAGGUUGCUUAAUUUUACUAUUAUGUUUGUUUGGGAGGGUUUCCUUUUUGGAAAAUCUGUUUUGGGACAUAAUGAGAAAAAGUAAUAUGAGUUCACUUUUUCUAAUAAUUAAUGUAAUAAUGUCUCUCUUUAUAUUUAAAAAAAAGCCAACUUUUGUCCAUAAGGUAGGAAAACUGGCCAUACAAAAUGAAGUCAUAUCAACUUAGAUUAUUCUCUCUUUUAUAUACCUAAAUCCAGGUAAACUUAUAAUGUUAGAAGAGUCUUGGGUACUACUAAUUGUCUUCUACAUUUAGAAGGACUAGAGCUAUUAUCUUGUUUUGAAAGGUGCAAAAUAAUUUUUAAAAAGCCUAGAUAUUUAUUAGAAAUAAUCAGUGGACAAUUGCAUGCUUAUCUAAUAUUCUGUGGAGUACUUUGCCACCUGUGACAUGGUCAAAAACUACAUUAAUGCUAUGUGAAGACAGUUGAAGUAAGAGAUGUAAUGCCAAUCUCUUAAGAGUGGCAAAGCAUUGCUGGAAUGUUAAGUAUCUCCCAUAAUGCAAAAUUUCUUCCAUCUUUAUUUUUUCUCCUUUUAGCAAGGUUUAUUGACUGCUUCAGUUUCUGCUAUAUUAACUAAAUUAACUUACAUGGUUCCUAUUUACACCUACAGAGAUCCUCUCUAACACCCUCCUCUAAUCAAUACUUCCCAUUCAAUAGCUUUUUAAAAAACACACAGUAAAAUAUUUAUUUUAAUUUAGAAAAAGGAAAACUACCAUUUGAAACUAAAGGAUUCCUCAAUCCCUUUUCCCAAUUCGCUUAGUUACAUGGGCUUAACUUUGCACACAAUAACCUAAUUUAGAAAACAGCAGAAAAAUUUGAUGAUUUUA